rnacentral:rRNA from 1 species
UACAGAGGUCUCAAGCGUUUGUUCGGAUUCAUUGGGCGUAAAGGGUGUGUAGGUGGCGCUGUAAGUCGGGUGUGAAAUUUCGGGAGCUUAACUCCGAAACUGCAUUCGAUACUGCGGUGCUUGAGGACUGGAGAGGAGACUGGAAUUCAUGGUGUAGCAGUGAAAUGCGUAGAGAUCAUGAGGAAGACCAGUGGCGAAGGCGGGUCUCUGGACAGUUCCUGACACUGAGGCACGAAGGCCAGGGGAGCAAACGGG